AAGUCGCGCCGCAAUAAAUCCGCAGAAAUAUCCAAGUCGGUCCGCGAGCGAGCGCGCGUCCCCGUCGUCGUGAGCCUCGCGCGAGCACGCACGCGUGCGAUACCGAUCGUCGAAAGGGAGAAAACGACGGUCCGGAGAGGGAGCCCGCAAAGAGAUAAGGAGGGAGAAGAGAGAGAAAGAGAGAGAAAAUAGAGCGACGAGAGACAAAGGGAGAGAGGGAGGAGGAGAAGGAGAGAUCGCGCGGUGAUAAAGAUCGAAAGAUACAUAGACGAUUUCAGUGACGCGCUCCCGCGCAACAGGAGGAGCUCCCGCUCUUCUCUCUCUCUCGUCCGUUCGCGAUCGAAAGCUCGCGGUGCCACAAGGAAAAGGGCCGAAAGAAGGGACCACCUGAUCAGCCGACUCGCACAUCCGCUCCCGGAUACUCUUCUAUCUCUUAAAAGUGGCAUGCAGUGUGUGCGUGUGUGUGAGAGAGUGCGUCUCCGCGAAUUAUCGCGAGUACCGGUCGUCGCGCCAGCACGCACGUAUACGCACGUGCGAGUCAUCGGUAUCGUUCGGGACACCCGGUAAGUCCCUUCUCUCCUCGCGACGAUCCUGGUGGGGAGAUACGUUUCAUAGAUUCAGUGAGAAAAUCGAAUUUUCGGAAGGGUUUCGGUGAGAGAAAGGGAGGGAGUCGAAGGGAGAGAGAGAGAGAGAGAGAGAGACCAAGCAUUGUCCGAGGAGAGAUUGAUUUCUUGCCCACGAAGAAUCCGUUCGAAUCGAGAGGCGUUUCGGUCGAUGAUCGAUCGCCGAGUCGCCGAGUCGCCGCGUCGAGUCCGGAGGACCGCAGGAAUAUACAUGCCGGGACUUUGGUACGCCGAACGGUGUUGUAACGGGUGUACCGAGAGCUGGACACGAGAGAACGAGAACGAGAACGAGACGACUCGCAUGCGCCGAGGCCUCCGAUAAUCCGCAUCCGGUUGGCAUUGCGACGAAUCGCCGACGCGCCGCAAUUGCGUCGUCCCGCUUAUCCAAUUCUUCCAAGACGGGAGCGAUGCGCGAAUAGAGAAUCGACGAUCCGCCGCGUCCGGAGCAAAAGCGGCGAACGUCGAUCUGUUAAUUGGAUCUCUUUGUGGCUCGACGGAGGCAGAGAGAGAGAGAGAGAGAGAGAGAGAGAACCGCGAUAAAAGAGGACGAAUUCACACGGAGAAAGAUCGGGUGGCAUCCGAUGCGAGGGUGACCAGCACAGAGAGACGGAAAAGGAUCGUUAGAGAGUCCUCGGAAAACUCGCCCGACAGUCCCGGGUGCGCGUCUGUAGUCGGCACGGACACUCGCCGAUUUGCGCUCGAUCGCGAUUCGCGCGCGAAUCCGCCCGCGGAGAGGAAACACGCACGCGCGUCCGCGCGCGUGCGCGCGCGCGCGAGACAAGGCUCCUCGAUCGAUCGUGAGAGUGAUCGCGAUGCACAAGUCGAUCGGUACACGGUGAGACGUGGAAAUCUAAACGAUCGAGGAGAAAAGUGGGUGACGCGCGAAAAGAAAAGACGCGUGAAACACCGCGUCGAAUGAACUGGAAAAACAAGCUGCGAAUAGAAAAGAAUGCCGAGGAGGAAAAGGACGACGACGACGACGACGGCAACAACGACGAGGAUGAUGAUUACGAUGGUUACGAGGGAGACCUGAACGGUGGACUUGUGGAAGUUCGACUAUCGUUUCUGUGAAGCUUCGAGCGGGAGACGCGUUGCAGCGAGAGAUUCCCGCGCAGGAGAGGAAGACUGGACAAAGCGGAAGAAGCAGAAUAAGACGAGCAAAGCA